UGUUAAAAAUUUCAUCUAUUUUUAUUGUUAAAAACUAGUGUGGUUAACAUAAUAACUAGACAAUUACACUUGGCACGCCACAUGUACCUCAUGCUGACAUACAAAAACUUAUUUUUAAUAGUAAAAAUGGAUGAAAAUUUUAGCA
rfam:Gossypium raimondii Chr13_contig_1325, whole genome shotgun sequence.